ensembl:lncRNA
CAGGGAGGAGCGAUAUUAUGACUUUGCUACUUCUCAACAUCAAUUACAGUAAUGAGGUCCCAUCCAAGUGGAACCUUGUAGUCGGACAGGACAGAGUGGAAAGGAAUGGACAUUAAACCACUGGCCCCUCAGCACCAAAACGAACACGCUAAACAAGCUGAUAUCACAUUGGACAAGAAUGAUAAUGGACAUUGCAUUCAUCAACCAAUAGUUUGUGAUUAAGGAAGUUGGCCUUGCCAAAUCAGAGGGCUCUUAUGUCAUCCAGAGGUUACGUAACAGGAAGAAGAAGUGAGGUCGUCUUGGAUUCAUCCAGCGUCAUCAUCACCCAGGACAGCAAGUGAGUCAGCUGAAUGAGUAUCGGCCCCUGCUGUACAGCUCUGUGUGAAUGCUAUCUCCAUCUAACUGAAAACAUGGUGCAUGCAUGUGCCUGUUUACAUCUCUCUAUUUGUUCCUUUCAUUGCUGAUUCAGGAUCACUAUUUAUUUACACUCCAAAGAUGUUUUCAUCAUGGUCUUGCUUUUCAACACAAUGCACAUCACACCCUAGUAGCCAAACCACAAAUAUCUCUCCCUCCACUUUCCACCUGUCUCUCUUUUGCUUAGCCUCUCUCUCUCUCUCUCUCUCUCUCUCUCACAAUCUCACACACUCGCACACAAUGACUCAACUUCUGAGUUUCCACUGCACAGGUACAUCGUCUUGACAACCAGGUGAGGAUUCGUAAAUCAUAAAUGUUGCCUCUCUUGGCUCUCUGGCAGGAAGGUUGCCUCUACCAUUUUCUCUCUCCCCUUUAACAUUGUGCAUACCAAUGAUAUUAUCUCCC